rnacentral:rRNA from 1 species
CCUACGGGAGGCAGCAGUGGGGGAUAUUGCACAAUGGGGGAAACCCUGAUGCAGCGACGCCGCGUGUGGGAAGACGGUCCUCUGGAUUGUAAACCACUGUCGCCAGGGACGAAGAUGACGGUAGCUGGGGAGGAAGCGCCGGCUAACUACGUGACAGCAGCCGCGGUAAUACGUAGGGAGCGAGCGUUGUCCGGAAUUACUGGGUGUAAGGGGAGCGUAGGCGGGGAUGCAAGUUGGUGGUCAAACCUACCGGCUCAACUGGUAGUCGCACUCAAAACUGCAGCUCUUGAGUGAAGUAGAGGCAGGCGGAAUGCCUAGUGUAGCGGUGAAAUGCUUAGAUAUUAGGAGGAACACCAGUGGCGAAGGCGGCCUGCUGGGCUUUUACUGACGCUGAGGCUCGAAAGUGUGGGGAGCAAACAGGAUUAGAUACCCUUGUAGUC